AAUCAUCACGAAUACUGGGCCAAGAAGACCACACCACUGUAUAUAAAAUCAGGUAGAUAUUAAUCGGAUGGAAAAUCCAAAAUCCGAAAUUCCUCCUGAAACACUCAAAAAAUUAUUUAUAGAACAAAUAAAUGAGGAAUUUUCAGACUACAUAAAAAUUUACACAGAUGGAUCGAGAAACGCAGAGGGUUCUGGAGCAGCUGUAUUAUUACAAGGGUCUGAAUCCUUUUCGGAGUAGAAAGUCGCCUGGAGGACCUCAGGCGUGAAGAAAGUCUGAUCAGUGGGCCCCAACCAUUUCCA